rfam:Ornithorhynchus anatinus chromosome 2, whole genome shotgun sequence.
AGCAGCGUGGCUCAGUGGAAAGAGCACGUGCUUGGGAGUCAGUGGUCAUGGGUUCGAAUCCCACCUAUGCCA